UACGUAGGUCGCAAGCGUUGUCCGGAUUUACUGGGCGUAAAGAGCGCGCAGGCGGCUGGUCAAGUCCGAUGUGAAAUCUCCCGGCUCAACUGGGAAACUGCAUCGGAAACUGAUCGGCUUGAAGAUGGGAGAGGGUAGUGGAAUUCCCGGUGUAGUGGUGAAAUGCGUAGAUAUCGGGAGGAACACCAGUGGCGAAGGCAGCUCGCUGGGACGUGACUGACGCUGAGACGCGAAAGCGUGGGGAGCGAACAGG
rnacentral:rRNA from 1 species